rnacentral:rRNA from 1 species
UGGGGAAUAUUGCACAAUGGGCGCAAGCCUGAUGCAGCCAUGCCGCGUGUGUGAAGAAGGCCUUCGGGUUGUAAAGCACUUUCAGCGAGGAGGAAGGUGGUGAGCUUAAUACGCUCAUCAAUUGACGUUACUCGCAGAAGAAGCACCGGCUAACUCCGUGCCAGCAGCCGCGGUAAUACGGAGGGUGCAAGCGUUAAUCGGAAUUACUGGGCGUAAAGCGCACGCAGGCGGUUUGUUAAGUCAGAUGUGAAAUCCCCGGGCUCAACCUGGGAACUGCAUUUGAAACUGGCAAGCUAGAGUCUCGUAGAGGGGGGUAGAAUUCCAGGUGUAGCGGUGAAAUGCGUAGAGAUCUGGAGGAAUACCGGUGGCGAAGGCGGCCCCCUGGACGAAGACUGACGCUCAGGUGCGAAAAGCGUGGGGCAGCAAACAGGAUUAGAUACCCUGGUAGUCCACGCUGUAAACGAUGUCGAUUUGGAGGUUGUGCCCCUUGAGGCGUGGNUUCCGGAGCUAACGNGUUAAAUCGACCGCCUGGGGAGUACGGCCGCAA